GGUCUGUGAUGAGUUUUGGCAGCUAUUAUCUGAGUAUGAAUUUGAAGAUUAUCGGUUUAUCUCUAGAACGACUCUGAGACCUG
rnacentral:snoRNA from 1 species